rnacentral:tRNA from 1 species
AAAAGCUUAGGAUAAUUUAAACUAAGGGCCUUCAAAGCCCUAGAUGGAGGUGAAAAGCCUCCAGCUUUUG